GACGAACGCUGGCGGCGUGCUUAACACAUGCAAGUCGAACGGAGUGGCGAACGGGUGAGUAACACGUGGGUGACCUGCCUUGCACCUCGGGAUAAGCUUGGGAAACUGGGUCUAAUACCGGAUAGUGCAAGAUGAGCUCGCGGCCUAUCAGCUUGUUGGUGGGGUAAUGGCCUACCAAGGCGUCGACGGGUAGCCGGCCUGAGAGGGUGUACGGCCACAUUGGGACUUAGGUACGGCCCAGAGUGCUACGGGAGGCAGGAGGGGGGAAUAUUGCACAAUGGGCGGAAGCCUUAUACAGCGGCGCCGCGUGGGGGAUGAAGGUCUUCGGGUUGUAAACUCCUUUCGACAGGGACGCGGUACCUAUAUAAGAAGCACCGGCUAACUACGUGCCAGCAGCCGCGGUAAUUC
rnacentral:rRNA from 1 species